AAUGAACGCUGGCGGCAGGCCUAACACAUGCAAGUCGAACGAGUGGCGGACGGGUGAGUAAUGUCUGGGAAACUGCCUGAUGGAGGGGGAUAACUACUGGAAACGGUAGCUAAUAACGCAUACCACCGUAUGUGCCCAGAUGGGUUGAGCUAGUUGGUGGGGUAAAGGCGCACCUGGGCGACGAUCCCUAGCGGGUCUGAGAGGAGGACCGGCCAACCUGGAACGGGACAACGGGCAAGACCCGUCGGGGAGGAGGAGGUGGGGAAUAUUGCACAAGGGGCGAAAGCCUGACGCAUCACGGCGGCGGGGAUGAAGAAGGCCUUCGGGUUGUAAAGUACUUUCAGCGGGGAGGCGUUACCCGCAGAAGAAGCACCGGCUAACUCCGUGCCAGCAGCCGCGGUAAUUC
rnacentral:rRNA from 1 species